AAUUCUCAAAAACCUUUCUUUUAUGAAAGGGUUUUGGACUUGGAGGCUUUUUGCUGGCUUCACCUCGAAGCUAGCUCCUCCUAAAUGAAUUAGUGGGGUCUGCUUUGCCGAUCCUCGACGUGAUAAGAUGUUACUACGUCUCGGGUUUGGCGAUGGCACCCGCUUCUAAUCGUCUCAUUGACAAUGAUGGCGUUCCGGUCACCACCGUUUCAUCGGUCGGGAGGCUUGACCCACCAAAAAAC
rnacentral:misc_RNA from 1 species